UGACAAUUACCAGGUGUGUAUGUGCUGUGAUUCCACAUGUGGUUCCAGCAGAAAAGGACUAGCACUCCCUGAUUCAGGCCUGGUAUCAGAAGGGAAAGCAACCAUUGGCCCCAUUGUGAUUGCUAAUUGAUGUAUUGUGAAUGGUGAGAACUGCCAAUAAAAGUUUUUAUGUAUUA